AUACGGAAGGUCCGGGCGUUAUCCGGAUUUAUUGGGUUUAAAGGGAGCGCAGGCGGAGAUGCAAGCGUGACGUCAAAUUUCGGGGCUCAACCCCGUCUCGCGUCGCGAACUGCGUCCCUUGGUUGCGGGAAGGGGAGGCGGAACUCGUGGUGUAGCGGUGAAAUGCAUAGAUAUCACGAAGAACUCCGAUCGCGAAGGCAGCCUUCCGGCCCGUCAACGACGCUCAUGCUCGAUGGUGCGGGUAUCAAACAGGAUUAGAUACCCUGGUAGUCCGCACAGUAAACGAUGGACACCCGCGGUUUGGCCUGUAUGGCUGAGCCGCCAAGCGAAAGCGUUAAGUGUCCCACCUGGGGAGUACGCCGGCAACGGUGAAACUCAAAGGAAUUGACGGGG
rnacentral:rRNA from 1 species